CGAAAGCCUGACGGAGCAAGACCGCGUGUGGGAGGAAGGCUCUUGGGUCGUAAACCACUUUUCUCAGGGAAGAAGAAAGUGACGGUACCUGAGGAAGAAGCCUCGGCUAACUCCGUGCCAGCAGCCGCGGUAAUACGGAGGAGGCAAGCGUUAUCCGGAAUUAUUGGGCGUAAAGCGUCCGCAGGUGGCGAUUCAAGUCUGCUGUCAAAGCACGGGGCUUAACUCCGUUAAGGCAGUGGAAACUGAAUGGCUAGAGUGCCGUAGGGGUAGAGGGAAUUCCCGGUGUAGCGGUGAAAUGCGUAGAGAUCGGGAAGAACAUCGGUGGCGAAAGCGCUCUACUGGACCACACCUGACACUCAGAGGACGAAAGCUAGGGGAGCG
rnacentral:rRNA from 1 species